rnacentral:rRNA from 1 species
GAUGAACGCUGGCGGCGUGCCUAAUACAUGCAAGUCGAGCGAAGCGGGGACGGGUGAGUAACACGUGGAUAACCUCCUAUAAGACUGGGAUAACUUCGGGAAACCGGAGCUAAACCGGCUUCUUAUCGCUGGAUCCGCGCUGCAUUAGCUAGUUGGUAGGGAAACGGCUUACCAAGGCAACGAUGCAUCGCCGACCUGAGAGGGGGACAGGCCAAACUGGAACUGAGACACGGCCCAGACCCCUACGGGAGGCAGCAGGAGGGAAGCUUCCGAAAUGGGCGAAAGCCUGACGGAGCAACGCCGCGUGAGUGAUGAAGGUCUUCGGAUCGUAAAACUCUGUUAUUAGGGAAGCGGUACCUAAUAAGAAAGCCACGGCUACCUACGUGCCAGCAGCCGCGGUAAUA